GACGAACGCUGGCGGCGUGCCUAAUACAUGCAAGUAGAACGCACAGUUUAUACCGUAGCUUGCUACACCAUAGACUGUGAGUUGCGAACGGGUGAGUAACGCGUAGGUAACCUGCCUGGUAGCGGGGGAUAACUAUUGGAAACGAUAGCUAAUGCCGCAUAAUAUUGAUUAUUGCAUGAUAAUUGAUUGAAAGAUGCUAUUGCAUCACUACCAGAUGGACCUGCGUUGUAUUAGCUAGUAGGUGAGGUAACGGCUCACCUAGGCGACGAUACAUAGCCGACCUGAGAGGGUGAUCGGCCACACUGGGACUGAGACACGGCCCAGACUCCUACGGGAGGCAGCAGUAGGGAAUCUUCGGCAAUGGACGAAAGUCUGACCGAGCAACGCCGCGUGAGUGAAGAAGGUUUUCGGAUCGUAAAGCUCUGUUGUAAGAGAAGAACGGGUGUGAGAGUGGAAAGUUCACACUGUGACGGUAUCUUACCAGAAAGAGACGGCUAACUACGUG
rnacentral:rRNA from 1 species